GGUGCGGUGGCUGAGUUUAAGCGGUGGGUUGUAGCCCCAUAAACAGAGGUUCAAGUCCUCUUCGUACCA
rnacentral:tRNA from 1 species